CAGGAGCACACAGAUAGUGCUGUUUACUUUGAUGCUGACUGGGCCCCAUUUCUGUAUCAAAAGUAUUUAUCUGUAUCAUCUCGGGAUUUAAUUGGAAGCAACACUUUUGUUUUAAAAAGCCUGCGCAGUGAUGUUGUUGAGUGAUGAAGCAGCUUGGAAAGUUUAAUGAGUAAGUACAACAGAUAUUUCAGACAGAGUAAUAUCUUCAACCCACACUCUCAUUCAUGUCAAGUACUGAAAACUGUUUAACAGAAAGUCCAGAGUAAGGAGUUUGAACCCCAUAAAGACCCCACAAGAUGUACAUCUGACCAAGAGGACUUAUUGUUUGGAUAUAUUUACAAUAAAUAUAUGUUAUAUUUUAUCAUAGACAAAUAUGUUAAAAAAAUAUAACAAUUAUGUCAUAUUUUGUCUUAGACAAGCCCAGAUUGUAUGAAAAAGCUGGGCCUAGCUUGUUUACACCUAUCAGAAAUAGGACCUGAUUUUAGACAGCCUACCCUCUGAGCAGAGGAGCCCAUGUACUAUUUGUUGUACGACGUGUUUUUUACACACGGUUUGCACAGGAGGAUGUGUAAAUUCUGUCCAUUAUUUUUGUCCAGUCAUUAUCUGGAACUCGCUCAUCUAAGUCCUGUUCCCAUUUAUUUUCUAAUUGAAUUAAAGCUGCAGAAUUAUGUUGAUUAAGAAGGUUAUAUAUCUUUGCUUUAAAAUGUUUUAAGUUUAUCCUAAGUUUUUUUGUUGUUACUGUUGCAUUUUUUUUUUUUGAUCAAGGUCUUUUUAUUUAGUUUUACAAAUUAUAUUUACAAAUUAACAAGAGUCCAACAGAACAGGACUGUAAAUCCCAUCCACCCCCACAAAUAACAGACUUACAGAAUUCACAGAAUGUAAUACAUAGUUCAAAAUAUACAAUUCACAUAGCCAGAUAAAAAAAAUGAAAUGUGAUAAUAAUGAUGACUGAGGACAACAGCAGAGGUUUACAGUACUAUAUUGUCUGCCUCCAUGUCUUCAACAAACAUUAAGAAAGGCUGCCAAAUGUAAUAACAUUUUCUAGUAGACCCCCUGAUUGUGUAUCUAUUCUUCUCCAACCUGAUAUGGAACUUUAAAAUUAAGUUUUCUGCUUGUUGUGUUGAAUGGAAAUGAAAUUCCACUUUCAGCAUUUGGGUAAAUGACUGUUCAUCCUUCUAAAUCCACAAUUUCAUCCGUCUGUUGCGUAAAACAUUCAUUGUUUGCUUCUCUUUGCAUUGUGCAAUAGGAAAUAAUCUGCCCUGAUCUAACCCUCUAAUGAUUCUCAAACAGACAAGGCAAACUUUCCAGACAAUUAAUCUGAGAGGAGCAAUGGAUUUAGCCUCCAUUGGCAAUUUUCAGAGUUCACUUUAGGGAUACAGACUCCCAUGGUCAAGGGUCUAUGAUCAGAGAUGAGCGAAGACUGAUACUCAGCUACCAGUGAAAGAAGUUUGUAGUCAAUAAAAUAAUAAUCUAUCUGCAAGGAUGUCUUUUGAACAAAUGAAUAGACCUUGGUUGUUGGAGGGUUUGUGCCGAUUUAGACUGUGAUGUUGUCUUGGAGGAACUACAGUCUAGAUUAGGAGAGAGUCUGUGUUCAUUCCCUGAUGUGAUGGUAUUCUUCACGCAGGUCAUAGCCUCAUCUGUGUUCAGAAAUGACUUGUCAUCUUCCCCGUAUGAGACAUAGAGUAGAGCUGAGAAUGAUAUUCCAUUGUGGGUAUCUCGUUGGCCUUGAAGCAGAUUCCUGGCGUUGUUGAACGCAGCCUGGGACUUGGCAACACUUUCAGUGUAAUCAAAGAAAAUGGAUAUAUAUUCUCCAUAGCACUGGAGAGGGGCUCAUUCUCCAGCACAAAGGAGAACAUUAACACAGUCGGUCAAUCAGGAUAUCUUUAUCCAAAAUCAGACUUUCUUCCAGUAACUUGGAAAUUUAUCUAAACUUUAUUCCUCUGCUGUCUGGUCUCCAAGUCUUCAUUCUUCACCUCUACCUAACAGUUUUGUCCUAGUGUCAGGGUAUUUAGCAAUAAAGUCUGGUACAAAUGUAGUUAAAGUGGAACCAGACUGGAAUGAUGUCUUGUUCACUUGAUAAUUAAAAACUGAAGAAGUUUUUUGGAAUCUUUAAACAUAAUUUGCAGUAUGACUUGUGCAAUGAAGAAAUUAUAUUUAGGCUUUUUUAACUAUCAUUCACAUUUUGAUCAAUGAGGGCUGGAGAAGGAAAGAGAGGAUGGGAAAGAGGCUAUACUGCAACUAUAAGAAGUGAUGUCAGAUCUGAAAAAUAGUUUUUGUGACAACAACACAGAAAGACAGCUCCCAUCAAAACCAGACCAUUUUUAGCGCUAACUGUGGUGUUAGCAAGAUGCCAACAUCCUAUCCUACCAAGUUUAAGCACGGCAUUGUUAUUUCUAUCUUAGAAAUCACACCAAGUACAAAACUUGAAGCGCAACUAAUUAAGGAAAAAAAGUCGUUCAUAUUCAGCCUGGUCCAGUGGAGUCGUCUGGUCCAUUCCAGUGGGUAUACUCCUUUUUUCAGUGAGUUCCUGAGCUAUCCUGUGUGCCCUAGACGUCUCAUGCCGUUGAAUUUUGUUACUGUAGGACGCUAGAGCUGUUUGUCUGUCAUUACACCUGUUCCACAGAUACAUAUAUCCUUUUCUCUGUGAGGAUCUCAGUUGAUUUUGUUGCAGAUAGCACAACCUGGAGGUAAACAAAAACAAAAUCAAUUAACCCUAUAAUACAAAUUGUCUUUUUUGUAGCUAUGGUUAAGAAAAUGCAUGGAAAAUAUUCAAAAGGAGGCAAAAAUGUCACUCUUUCUGUAGCUCAAAUUAUGUGACAACUGUAUCCAACAUAUGAGUUAGUCAUGGUGUACAUGGUGUCUUGAUGAUUGAACUAUAUUAAGAUUGACAUAUAUUAUUUAAUUAACGCUUCACAGUUUAUCUGUGUUGUCAAAUAUUUAUCUAACUUUCAGUUUCUCUACUCUAACCAAGGAUAUAUGUGUUUAAAUUCUCUUGCCUGACUCUCACUCCACAAAGCUGGCCAGGUCAAGUUCUCAUCUACAAUGCACACAGUAACAGACACACACAGAGCAGCAGCAACCACACCUACUUAACUUCAACCAUACCAGCACUAGUUAGCUUGUUUUCAAUGAGCAAAUCACCUAUUCUUCAAUAGUGGUUACUAUUAAAUUACUAAAUUAUGACUGAAAUUAUAACAUUGACCAACCAGGUACGACGAUAGUGUCAGUAUCCUCCCCCUCCCCAUUAUCAGGUAUAUUGGCUGUGUCCGCUGCAGAGUCAUCAUCAGGUCCCCCUUUCAAGUCGCUUCCAUUAGCAGUAGCUGUAGUUUUCCUCGAAGUGGCAGUAGAAACAGACGCAGUAGGCUUAUGGAAACACUGAAACAGUGUGAUUUACUUUCUUUUCAUUUUCCCUUUUCUUUUCAAUCAAUCAAUCAAUCAACUUUAUUUAUAUAGCACAUUUAAAAUAACCACAAGGGUAGCCAAAGUGCUGUACAGUGACAUAAAAACAAAUAAAACAAUCAAAAAACAAGAUAACGCAAGCAGAAAUACAAUAACGCAAAAGAAUAAAUAAGUGUAUAAAUAAGGAGGCUCACGGCAAGUGCUAAGAUGAUAAAAAAACAAAUUAACACUACAAUGUACUAAAAGCCAAUUCACCCCUUUUGGAUCGAUCAACAACAUUCCUCCCAUUCCGACAUACAAUGUCACUUAACUUCCUCAACAGCAACGGCUGGUCCGCAUCAUGCUUGACGGAGGCCCCUAUGGUCCAAAAGUGUCUGCUUUGUAAUACAGGAAAGGCGAACUUAUGAACAAAAAAGUGAGAGUUAAUUCACAUAACCAUUCUGAAACGUAUUUUUUUGCAUUUUGUGGUAAUUAUACGGUAAUUCAGGGCGUCUUGUAGUGGCUACACAGCGUAAACCCACGUAUCACAUAGACUGCACCACUGGCCUGGUCCAAACUUUCUAACUCAGCAAAUAAGGCCACUUUCACUGUCAUAAACUGCACCAUAGAGGGAAAGCAAGCUGUGGUUUGAGUUAGAUUAUCUGCUUUUCAUCACUGAGCUCAGUGUCACUGCACUCCCCUACAACUGAGACCCAUUAUAAAAGACUCACACACAGUUCAGAGGGAUGAACUUCUCCAUCUUUGCUCUUAAGGCAUGGGGAGGUAAAUCUAAACACCACAGGGGUCAGCCUGGGGAUGGGAACCCACAGUUGUUUACAUUUGGUUGGUAAAAGGCUGGUCCACAUUCACCCCAAGACUUAGCUGAUAACUCAACACACCGCUGCAAGGAAACAAAAGAAGAGACAAAGGGUUUAGGACAUGUUAUUUGCUUUUUAAACAGCUUUGUUCAAUAACACUCAAUUAACUAGAGUGUUAAUGACUAUCAAUUUGUUGACCAGCUUUCAAGAUUAGUCACAUUAGCUGUAUUUUUCACUCAGCAUUUGUUUUGUUGGAGUCACAUUACUAUGAGGUGGCUGGCUGAUUCAGAGCAGACCUUCCACAUUUCUCUGCACUAAAACUCCACCAAGAAACCACACAACAGUUUAUUGAAUUGACUUUAUGAGAAAAUAGAUGUGUGGAGGUUAGACAGCAAAAAUACAACUGAAAUAUAUUGGGCUCUAUUUUCGUGCCCACCGGCAGCGUGGCAGAGGGUGGUGCACCCCGUGCAGUAGUAUUUUUGUCUGGCAGUGCCCGGCACACAGCCAGUUUGGUAUUUUCCUUGAACUGAGGCACACUGAGGUUUGCCAAGCUGGGUGUGGUGGCCUGGUAGGGGGAGGUGUCGACAGAAUCAGCUGGAGUAGUGACAUUUUCAUGCUCACCAGAGGCAUGGAUAAUGUGCCGAAAGCUCACCGAUUCAAAACUGGUCAGCUUUCAGCACAGGCAGAGCACAGCUGGUCUAGUGGUAUUUUGAUAGACAACAACAACCAGUAUUCAAUGUAACUAUCUGAGUCAGUACAUACAUUUAGAUAUAUCUCCAAAUAUUCUGAUGCACAACUUAUCUGAUAAGUGUUUAUAAGUAAAUAUUCAGUCUGGAUUUAGGCUCACAUACAAAUAUUAUAAUAUUUAGUUGUGUGUGCCAAAAUCAUUUUGUUUUAUUAUCAAAAGAAAGAGCCAGGCCACAGAGCAUGAUGCGUCCUUUACGCACAGAUGGUUCCGCUUUUAAUGCCAUUCUUGGAAUUAGUUUAUGUUGUGAUCUGUGUUUUAACCCACAGAAAAGGGGGUUUGUCUUACCAGUGGGUCCAACAUUACACACACCGAAUCCAUCUGUGCUUAUUUGAGAGAGAGUGGAGGACGCCCUCAGCAGCGCUUACAGCGACACUCGUUGAGGGGCUGCCUUCUGUUGCCAUCAUUGGCAGUGCUGUCUUGAGUCAUCUCUUGAUUUCUUUGACUUCUUGACAAAAAUUGUAAUACGCCUUGCUGGUGGCGGAUUUAAAGGUGAGGAGAGGAGCUGAUGUGAUUGAUGAAAACAGGACUGUGUUAAACCCACUCCACGCCUGCUCCCCUCCCUCUUUCCAAUUUACACCACUGGGAGAUGCUGAGUUAGGGAGGGAGGCUACUCAUGCCGGGCCGCGCUGCUUACCAAAAUGCAACUUUUGAGGUCAAGCAGCUCCUGUUACACAAAAGUGUGAUCCUGUAUUAUUGUUUUCUUGGUCAAAAGCAUCUUUCAUUAGAAAUUCAUGUGUGCACAACAACCACCUUUUUUGCUUGUUUGGUUUCUGUGCAGCUGAAAAAUCAAAGAAGGCAGCGUCUAAGGGGGACCCACUCCUCUGUGGAUACAAAAGCCACAUUCUGAGAUGACAAAACCAAUAUAAUGUUUUAUAUCCAAGUGAGUACACUGGUUCAAACAUUUUUUUUUUUUAAAUACCAACCGCAAUCAAGUCCGUCUCUCUAAAAGCUGUGAGAUUUUACAUAUUGUUCCUCUAAUAAAUAUCAUUUAAAAGUGACAUGGAAAACCAACAAAAGGAAGUCAAGCCUCCUUUACAUGUAAUCAAGAUGAUAUCCAUAUUUGACAUGCAGGAGGAAACACAUGUCAGUGCCUGUCUUCAUGGUUUUAUUGUUUUGGUUCCUUAAGUGUGUGUGCCUUGGCUGGGAGGCUUGACAGUGGGGGACAGGGAGAACCAUCGACAGCUGAAGCGUGUCCGCCUAUCAGGUGCACAGUGCCUAUGAUUUGCCAGGCUCAGGUCCUAAAUGUCAAGGAAAUGAACGUGUUACAGAAACUUUUUGAGGGCCUAGAGUUAUUCAGACCAAAACUGUCAUUUGAACCAGGCCUUGAAGUCCCACUCUAAUCAUUUUUUACUUCUUAAGUAUUCUCAGUGGUCUUUAAAUUGUGAUUGUGAAGUUUAGCCAAAUCACGUUACCUGUGUCAUUUUCCAGGGCUUUUCUUCUGCAGAGCUCCAGUAGCUCAUUAGCAAUUCGCCUCUGAGUUGUGGGCGGAGACAACGCUGCUCUACACACUCCUUCAUGCUAGCUUGUAGCCUAACAUUGCCGGUGUUGUAGAGGUGGCAGCUAAUAUAGGAGCUCUUCAGCUCUCGCACACUAAUGUCUUUGGGGGCAUGAUGAAAGUUAAUAUCAUAAUUAGCUUUCUCAAAGGCAUUGCAAUCUGCUUAAGCACAGGCAGUGUUGGGAAAGUUCACUUUCUACCUGAACUAGUUCAAAGUUCAGUUCACACAUUUUAAAAUGAAUCAGUUCAUCAUUCAAAAUUCCACAUUUUAAACUGAAGUUCAUGGUUCCCAAAAAUGAACUAAUUUAGUUCUUUUGUUCUUUAUUCAAUACUUUGCUGCAAGCUAUUAUUUGUCAAGAUUUUUUUAUGGAGCCCAAAUAGAACCACAGACAGCAAUUAUUUUAGCAGUAUUUACACUGAAACUAUGUCAGAUUAAUAUUCAUAUCAAUUUUUUAAUCCUAAACCAACCAGGUUUACAAUAGGGUUGAGAGGACAGCCCUCAGAAUACUAGUAUCUAAAGUGUUCCCAAAUAAAGGCCUUCCACUGGGACAGGUAAACCCUUUGCUAUAAUUUGAUUAUAAGUCGGUGACAGCAGUGGGUUUACUUAAACUGGCUGCUGGUUAACCAUCCAGUUUUGGAAUUUUCAAAGACAUUUAAAAUGUUAGUAAUCAAGAACUGUAUUUCUGAGGUGAAUCACUGCCAAAUUUCAGUAAUUACCAACUGGGUGGUAAUUACUGAAAUUACCAUAUUACUGUAAUCACUGAAGGUGCAAUUGCUCAAACAGUUUCUGGCCAUUACAGAGUUGUGGCUCAAUGAAGGAGUCACUUUAACAGGGACCUUCCCUGGUCUGCUGUCAUAGUAGCUCCUCACAAGAGGUCAUUGUUGUAGGUUUUUUUUCCACCUUUUUUUUUUUUUUAAUUGUGUAUGUGGUGUAUGUAGUUUAAGGCAGUUGUCUCCAACCACCCAUAGCACCGGCUGAAGGCAGUCAGCAUUCACCACUGCAAGACAGUGUAGGUGCACAAGUAUCACCAUCACGUGAUGGAAGAGGACUGAGGGAGAGCUUGGUUCAGGUGGAAGAGACUCCUGUCUUUGUUUGCCCUCUCUAUGGCUGUGUGCUGUGUGAGUGGCAGCACAGUGUCAUUGGAUUGAUUUCCAUUUAUUGUGCGCCUCUUUGUGUUGUUGGUCUCCACUGUCAGCCAUUUGGGGGUAUUAUUAGUAUUAUUAUCAUCAUUAUUAUUAUUUAUAUGGGUUGAUCAUUUCCCUUAAUUAGGAAGCACCUGCAUGCGUCUUCCUGUUAGGUUAACCCAUGCUCAUGCUGUUGGUAACAUUUAAAGGGUUAAGUAUAAUGACAUUGACGUUGUCCUUGAGUUACAGUCACGCAUCCAUGUGAUAGGAAGCUGCACUAACUUAAUAUUAAAACACAAAAUUACGUUUCAUGAACUUUAUACUUUUCCUUGUGGAGGCAGAAAUGCUUAUCCAAAAUGAACGUAUUUUGUGAGUUAAGACAACUUUCUUCAUUUUUAAUUUUGAUCAACUUCUUGAAAUAAGUUAUCAUCUUAAUAAAACAAUGGAGAUGUAACAAAUAGUAUUUUUAUGCUGGAAAAGCUCGUGUUUUUAAGUCAUACUAACUAACCUCCUGAAUCCUUUCUGUAGUGUGGAGUGUGUGAGUCAGGUGACAGUGCCCUCCUCUCUCAUCCAUCCUAUAAGCAGAGGGAUCCUCCUAGUGACAACUCUAGCAGACACAAAAUCAUCCAGCAAUCUUGUUUCAUGGCAGUUCUACAAAUGGCUUGGUUGAUCUGGUGCUCUGAGCUCAAAGAUGAUAUCCCCACAGGACAUGAACCACUUCCCCUCCACAAAUAGGAAGAACCAAGAGGCUUAGCCUUCUGGUUUUCUGACUCAAAGACUGGGUUGUCUGUUUUUAUGAAGUCUGGAAACCAACAGUGGCCUUCUCGUCACUUACUCCUCAGGAAGCCUUUAAAUCCAGCUGCCAGUCCAAAUUGAAAUCCCUACAUUUGAACUUUUAUCCCCCUCCUCAGAAAAGCAUGCCUCAGCCACUUUGGUCUCAUCCUGUGAAGAGAUGGUCUUCCUCACCAUCACAGUUUUGUGCCCCUGUGUGAAACCUAUCACAACUUUUUUAGAGGUGCAGUUAAGAAUACUGAAUACCCUGACCAUAAAAAGAAGUCGUGGUCAGCUCCCGUCUUCACCAUUAGAUUUUAUUCAUUUACGGUUGCCUCCUUUUUGUCAUCGCUGUGUUCCUCCUCUCUCCUCAUUUACCAUCUCCCUUAUUUUUGGUGCUUUUUAUGACUGUUAUUUUAUUUUGUUACAGGCUCUUAAUUCCCCACCAACAGGGGUUGAAGCACUGCUCCUGCAAAGUGAUGAGGAGCUCUGCAGACUGCAGCACAGGCCAACACCAAAAUUGCUUCACCCAUCUUGUUUAUUCACAGAUGGUAAAAACCUGCUAAUUUUAACAUGCUGUUUCUAGCACUUGUAAAUAUAUUGUCAUUAGCUCCCUUGCUGUGUUCACAUCUGUUUUAGUGGGGAAGCUGGCAGGGUGGGACAAGGGUGUGAUGCUUUGUGGAUGUGUUAUAUUUGUGACCCAUCUGCACUGAGCAGAGAAGUCAAAGAAGAAUGAGCGGCUUGCACUCAGCAAAAGAAAAUAGUUUGGCUGAGACCAUGAAACUGAGAGGCUGAUUGUAAUUUGCCAGUAAAGGACAAUAAUGAAAGGUAAACCUCA